GAUGAGCGCUGGCGGCGUGCCUAAUACAUGCAAGUCGAGCGAAUGGAUUAAGAGCUUGCUCUUAUGAAGUUAGCGGCGGACGGGUGAGUAACACGUGGGUAACCUGCCCAUAAGACUGGGAUAACUCCGGGAAACCGGGGCUAAUACCGGAUAACAUUUUGAACCGCAUGGUUCGAAAUUGAAAGGCGGCUUCGGCUGUCACUUAUGGAUGGACCCGCGUCGCAUUAGCUAGUUGGCGAGGUAACGGCUCACCAAGGCAACGAUGCGUAGCCGACCUGAGAGGGUGAUCGGCUACACUGGGACUGAGACACGGCCCAGGCUCCUACGGGAGGCAGCGGUAGGGAAUCUUCCGCAAUGGACGAAAGUCUGACGGAGCAACACCGCGUGAGUGAUGAAGGCUUUCGGGUCGUAAAACUCUGUUGUUAGGGAAGAACAAGUGCUGGUUGAAUAAGCUGGCACCUUGACGGUACCUAACCAGAAAGCCACGGCUAACUACGUGCCAGCCGCCGCAGUAA
rnacentral:rRNA from 1 species